rnacentral:rRNA from 1 species
AGAUAAUAGAUACCCAGGUAGUCCUGGCCGUAAACGAUGUCGACUAGAUCGCAGUUCCUUUGACGGAAAUUGUGGUCGAAAGCAAAAGUGCUAAGUCGACCGCCUGGGAAGUACGGUCGCAAGGCUAAAAACUCAAAGAAAUUGACGGGGGCGUCACACAAGCGGUGGAGCAUGUGGUUCAAUUCGAAGCAACGCGCAGAACCUUACCUGGGCGUUGACAUGCUAGGAUUAUCUCGGUGAAAGUACGAGUAGGCCCGCAAGGGGUACGAACUAGUACAGGUGCUGCAUGGCUGUCGUCAGCUCGUGUCGUGAGAUGUCGGGUUAAGUCCCUUAACGAGCG